rnacentral:rRNA from 1 species
AGAACGAACGCUGGCGGCGUGUUUAAGACAUGCAAGUCGCACGGGGAUAUUUUGGUAUUUAUAUUAAAAUGUCCCAGUGGCGCACGGGUGAGUAACACGUGAAUUACAUGCCCUUCAGUGGGGAAUAGCCCAGGGAAACUUGGAUUAAUACCCCGUGGUAUCGCAAGAUUAAAGGUGGCCUAGCAAUAGGCUGUCGCUGAAGGAUUGGUUCGCGCCCUAUCAGUCUUGUUGGUGAGGUAACGGCUCGACCAAGCUACGACGGGUACCUGGUCCUGAGAGGACGAUCAGGCACACUGGAACUGAGCACGGUCCAGACACCUACGGGUAGCAGCAGUCGAGAAUAAGUCACAAGUGGGGACUAACC